UACGUAGGGCGCGAGCGUUGUCCGGAAUUAUUGGGCGUAAAGAGCUCGUAGGCGGCCAGUUGCGUCUGCUGUGAAAUCCCGGGGCUCAACCCCGGGCUUGCAGUGGAUACGGGCUGGCUGGAGGCAGGCAGGGGAGAACGGAAUUCCCGGUGUAGCGGUGAAAUGCGCAGAUAUCGGGAGGAACACCGGUGGCGAAGGCGGUUCUCUGGGCCUGUACUGACGCUGAGGAGCGAAAGCGUGGGGAGCGAACAGG
rnacentral:rRNA from 1 species